GUCUCUUUAAGCUGUCCGUGGUAUAAACAAGCUUGGUUUCUGGGGCUGGGUGAAGAGGAUGAGAAUGCUCUGUACACAGCCAUGGUUGGUCAGGAUGGGGACUCUCCUUGCCAUGUGAUUUUAACAUCCAUUUCAAUGGUCAGGAGCAAGGCUUGGCAGACUGCAUGGCAAGUGGCACCUCCAGCUACAAAAUGCCCCAGCCAUCAGUGUGGGCAUCGCUCCUGACUUUGGGAACACAUCUAUGGACUCACCGAACGUGGUUGGACUUGAUGAUCUUAAAAGUCUUUUCCAACCUUAAUGAUUCUAUGGUUAGCUCCAUUGCAACCAGGCUUUCCUGAGAUGGCUGAUUUCCUUGGUGGUAUCCAGAGACGUAUCCAGAUGUUCUGCAAGCAUGGAGGUCCCGUUGGCUGCUUUUAGCUGGCUAACUUUCUCUGCUAUAGACCAGCAGCUCUAACCUGCAGGUUACGGGCAAGCCGGGACAGCAGAUCUCAUGGAGAAGGUUGACUCUUCUCUUCGCUGUCUUUCCUAUUUUGAUGAAACAAUAAGAAGGUGGAGUCGAAGUGAACAAUGAAGACACUGGGCUCUAUGAAGAAUGGUGGUCCUCCAUUUCUUCUCCUCCAUACCUACACCAGCAGACGUGUUAGGAGGAAUCUGGCCUUAUGUUAAAACCAAAGUGCCUGGUAGAUGCAGAUUGAGCAGAAUGGGUUUUGCUUACCCAAUCCUCACUGACAGGAGAAUUUUGGAGCUCAGUGUGGGCAGCUGCUUUAGAGAGGGUGGGCUCUAUGCCUCUUGGUGAUUGUGUCUUAAAUACAUUGGUUGCGCUACCCCUUAUUGGAAGACUUUAAAAGCUAUGAAAAUAAGAUGCAAUGAGUGAAUGAGUGCAGGCAUAGGGAGGGAGCCUGUCCCAGGUGGGCACGCAGCUUCAGGGACCUCUGCAUGGUCAGCAUGGGUCAACCCCACUGCUGGCAGGGGUGAGGCUUGCAUGGGUUAAAAACCUCAGACAAAACCUCUGUUGCUACAUUGCAUUGCUUGGGAAAUGCAAACAGAGGAAGGAGAGGUGGAGAAGAGCCAUAGGAAAUACCUUCUGCUUUAUCUUUUCCACCUCCGGGAACUUGGCCACAAACUUGAACCAAGCUCAAAUCAAACCAUCUCUAUGCAUCUCCAAAGAACGGCACGAAGAGUCUCAAAGCAUCUCCUUGGCUCUUGAUUGGAAACCCCAAACUCCUGUGGUCGGAGACACGAUGCCAAAAUGUGGGCCUGACCUCCAAAACGAGUGGUAGAACAGGGAAUGAAGUAUGGGAGCUGACCUUGUUCCUGAGCUAGCUUAAGUGUUCAGCAUUGCUCCAGCUGCCAAACCUUCAUCCUCAGCACCAACAGCCAGAGAUGUUUUUGGGCUUCAGCUUGAACAAGCAGACCCAGUUGUUCUUUUUGCCAUUUCAAGUCACGGAGGGGAAAGGGCAUAAUUACUGCUUCUAGUUCUUCAUUAUUGCUGCAGAGAUCUGAACUCUUUUGAGAACUUGUUGGAACAGCCCCAUCGGGUGCAUGGAAAUGGAAAUCUGCUGAGUUUUUUUCCUCUCUUUAGUUAGCAGAAGCAGUUUUCUGCAACUGGAUUAUUUAUAUAUAAACAGGUCUGCCCUGAACACUGAAUGCAGGUCAUGGAGUGUUCUCCCGUGGGAUGUGGUCAUGCAAAGUCCCACCCAUUGACUCACUGUUUGGGCCAAAGAGGUAACCUUAGUCUGGCUUUUCGAGGCUGUAUGCAAUGCAAUAGAACUCAGCAAACAUUCAAGAUCAGGCUG
rnacentral:lncRNA from 1 species